rnacentral:rRNA from 1 species
UCUAAUACCGGAUAGGACACGUUGAUGCAUGUCUUCGUGUGGAAAGUUUUUUCGGUGGGGGAUGGGCCCGCGGCCUAUCAGCUUGUUGGUGGGGUGAUGGCCUACCAAGGCGACGACGGG